ACCUGACAUUUAACUCCUGAAGCAGCCACUCUACACUGAGCCGUAUCACCACAAACGAGCUCCACAGAGACAGAACAAACAAUGUAUAAUGUUCUCAAACCCUCCUUGAUUAAAACUUUAAGCCUGUCACUGAUUCUGUGGAAUUCCUGGCCCGUGGCUGAUGAAAGUGGCGAUAAUUCGGGAUGCUACUGAGAACCUGGAGGCCAAGUGAAAUACAGGAGUGGCCACGUUACAAACUAGCCACCUGCCCAGCCCAUCAAGCGCCACCUGAGGUACAGUCCGCGGGACCCACAUCCAUCUCACCAGCCACCGCGUAAACAACAGAACCCGAGUGGGAGCAAGUUCUUCACCAUCUCCAAUGAAGUCUGCGCGUUAACCUCAGAUUACCGAGCCUGUUCUACACACAUUCUACAGGUUACUGGCAGUCCAGUUCACGUACAGAUUCCUCCCAAAUUAUAACAGGCCGGGAGCAGUUCACUCAGUAAAAAUACAGUGAACGAUGGAUGUUGUUUUAAUCUGUUCAGUGACAGAAUUGACAUGAAAUAUUUAUUAUAACCCCACGGUGCCAGAGAUUCGGUCACAGUCUGAAUUUUUCAUCCGAUGAACCUGAUUAUGGAUUGUAAAUCUUUCACCGUUUCACAAACAGCACAGCCCCUUUCAAUGUUAUUUUGCCAGAUUAAUUUCGGUGAAACUUCCUCCAAUUUUCUCCACAAAUGUUAUUUCCCACUUGUGUCCGGAGCUGGAGAUCAACAAUACAAAAUAACAGGCAAAAAUCCACUCAGGGCCGCCAGUCCCCGUGAAAGAGGAGCAGAGUGAAUUUCCCCUCCACAAACGCUACAUCACCUGAUGAGCUUUUGCAACAACCCCUGUUAUUAACUGCAGGUGACUUUAUUGAACACAGUCCAGUCAGUUUACACUUACUGACAGAGAAGCUAUGGACCAAAGACGGAGGCUGGUUAAAGAAGUUAACUAAUGAAACCAUUCAGCUUUGUACAGUCGGGCGGGUGUGUACAGUCGAGUCGCUGACUGGACCUCAACGGCCACGGCGGAGUCUCCGGAGCGAGCGGGGAACGAACUUCUACUCGGCUGCUUCCGGCCCCCAGACCGCGUGUUUGGGAACAUGUUAAACCGAGCUCAGCGGUGUGGAGGGAAUUGUGUUGGCGUGACAGGGCAAAUCUUACUGAGGUGUCAUCUCUUGGAAGACGAAUAAACUUUGAUCUAAUCGCAUAGAGAUAACGGCAAUAAAAUUUACACGGCGGAGACAAGUGCAGUAAAUUCUAAUAGUAUCAAGAUAUUCGAAUAUUAAUCCACGAAUGUACGGAAAUUCGAAUCUGAAGGCAGAUGCCAACCAAAAUGUUACUUAAUAGUAGUGAGCUGUUUGCAGCAGAACCCAGCAGCGUAAGGACAACAUAACAGAGAUGAUUGCAACCGAGUCGAGCAGCCGGGAAGCAUUGUAGCAUUGUAGUGUAGUGUAGAACUAAUUGUGAAAAUAAAAUGGAUAGGCGA